GAUGAACGCUGGCGGCGUGCCUAAUACAUGCAAGUCGAGCGAACAGACGAGGAGCUUGCUCCUCUGACGUUAGCGGCGGACGGGUGAGUAACACGUGGAUAACCUACCUAUAAGACUGGGAUAACUUCGGGAAACCGGAGCUAAUACCGGAUAAUAUAUUGAACCGCAUGGUUCAAUAGUGAAAGACGGUUUUGCUGUCACUUAUAGAUGGAUCCGCGCCGCAUUAGCUAGUUGGUAAGGUAACGGCUUACCAAGGCAACGAUGCGUAGCCGACCCGAGAGGGUGAUCGGCCACACUAGAACUGAGACACGGUCCAGACUCCUACGGGAGGCAGCAGUAGGGAAUCUUCCGCAAUGGGCGAAAGCCUGACGGAGCAACGCCGCGUGAGUGAUGAAGGUCUUCGGAUCGUAAAACUCUGUUAUUAGGGAAGAACAAAUGUGUAAGUAAUUAUGCACGUCUUGACGGUACCUAAUCAGAAAGCCACGGCUAACUACGUG
rnacentral:rRNA from 1 species